AUGGAACCCCUCUGUGGAGAAGUAAGUGGAUACCCUACUCAGCAGGAAAGAAGAGUUGUGUUACUCCUGAGCUCCACUUUCAUUAACACCAAGUAUGAGAACAGAUAUUAUAAGCGACAGCUACGUUUAUUACUCAAGAUUGUGCCUUUCAUAUGGGCGUGUGGGAUGUGAGUUAUGCAUUAGAAGUUGUCACUAUUGUUCUUAAGUGCGUAUUCCCUGAUGUACGUCGUUGCCUUCUUAGUUCUCAUUUUGCCUUUUUAUUUUUUAUCUGCCAUUUAUUUCUCAGGGUACAUACUCAUUAGUAAGUUAAACUUGUCUUUUUUUUAAAUUUUAAUUUAAGGCAAAAGUGUGUAGCUGAAAAUAUCUUUUCCUUAAGCCCAUUUUAAAAGUUCUAUUGUUGAAACGUUGAGUUUUACAGAAUAUAAAUAAUCCCUGAGUUGAAAGUUUUGUGAAAAUGUUUCAAACUAAUAUUCUCAUUUCCUCCCUAUUUGCUUUACGUGUUUCCCUAUAAAAGAUGUAAAUAUUGAACCAGAUAUUUCUUCCAGAUCUAAGACCAGGAGUGCCUUGAAUUAUAUUGAACUCAGCAAGAUCAUGUGUUGCUAACAUUGUAAAUAGUUGGAAAUUUGGUGAACAUCAAACCUAAAUAUAGUGGCAGACAAAUCUGCCUUCACAUCUCAAGGUUAUCUAGGUAACCUUGCUCAAGAUACUCAACCUUUGUGAACCUUGACUGCCUUAUCUGUAACAUAGGAAUAAUAAUAUGUGUCUAUUUCCCCAGGGUUGUUAUCGAAGACUGAAUGAAAUGCCUCAUAUCAAGCACUUUUCUUGGUGACUGGUCCAUUACAGUGAGAAAAUAAAAGAAUUUUAUCUGAAGAAUGCCCGUCUCUUUAAUGAUCAAGCCCAGAGAGACAGUCGAAUGAGACAGCAAUUAUUUUCUACUUCCCCCUUUGAGCUAUGUAUUCAUCUCUUAAAAUUGCUUGCUAUUGUCACAAGUAGUUAUACAUUACCCUAAUAAUGCCACACCAGACUCUAUAACCCACACCCUAUAGCUUAACAACGUAUAGCCAAUCACUGAUCAAUGUUAUUUCUGUAAACCUGUGGGAAUUUCUGAUAUACAACUUUGUGUCAGCCUACUCCCUGUUUCCCUUAUUUUGCUUUUAAGAAUCCAUUUGUAACUGCUGCUAAUCAGAGUGUAUAUUCAGGGCAACUUAAAUCUCUGCUUUCCAGUUGCAGUUCUCAAGCUUGGCCCAAUUAAACUCUGCUUGCAUUAAUUUAGCUUUAGCUUCUUCCUUUUAGGCCAACGAUAGGUACCUAACAAAUUGUAGCUCCUUCCUUCCUUUCUCCCAAGGAAAGGAAUUUGAACAAGGAUGCUGUUGGUAUUAAUGUUCUUGCUUCUCUAGCUUGUUUUCAUUAAUGAAAAUUUUAAAACUAAUUUUUUAUUUUGUUUUUAUGAUAGAUAAGAUACCCAUUGUAACUUCAACAUCCUUAUCCUAACUAAUUAAUUGGAGAAGCAUAUAAAUGCUUAUGUAGCAUUAUCUAUAAUAUUGAGAAAUAUUAUAAUAUUUGGAGGCAAACUAAAUAUAUAUUAUUUAGGGAUUGGUUGACAAAUAUUUAAAACAUGCUCAUUAUUUGAAUAUUUUGAAGACAUUAAAAAUAAUGCUGUAGACACUCAUACAUUUAUGUGGAAAAAUAAUUGUUAUAUAUUAUUAAGAGAAGGAAAUAUAUAACAAAACUAUAUUAUCCAUGUUAAACAUAUUUUUCAAAUUUAAUUUGAAUAAAUAUAUGUAUAUGAAUGUUCUCAGUUGACGUCUCUCACUGGGUAAUGUGGUUGCUUUAUAUAUAUAUAUUUCUUGCUAUUUGCUACAUUUUGUUAUUGUCAGAGUUUUAAAAAAUGAGCAUUGUAGAAAAACAAACAUAUUUGGGAAGAUGUCCAUCAUUUAAAAAUUUCAUUAAUAUGUAAAAUUACUAAGGUAGCACACACUGAAAAUUCAAACAAUAUUAAAUAUAUUAAUUAUGAAAUGAGACUUUAUUCUACUUCCUCCAUGCAUUUCAUUGAUAAACAGUAAAAAAUAAUGAUUAAAAAAGGUCAUUAGUAAAAAUAAUCACACUCUUCUACUCUAACUCCCUCUCCUGACAGCAAGCCACAGAAGUAAAGCACAGAACAAGUUUCCUCCAUAAAUAAUUUGGUGAAAAAAGCCAAAAUAUUUUGAGAACCGUGACGUCAUUGUUAACUUUUUCUCCUGUGAUGUUUACCAUCGUAACCUCAUUUGAGGCUUUACAUGAAUUCAGAAUGAAAAACUCAUUGCAUUCGCAAAGAUGAAAAACCUUUUCUCCUAUGCAGAACACACCUGCCCAGCCGUUGUGUGAAAUUACCCUAACAACAUUCUAUUGGAAGCUUGCUGUGCCACCAUAAACAGGAAUGUACACCCAAUCUACCUAGACCAGACCAAACUGAGAGCUGUUAUAUGGAAUGGGACCUGGGGAGAUUUGACUAAACAGAGCCAGGAAAUCACACCUGGUUUAAAUAUCCAUAAUCACAACUAAAGUUGCUUUCUCUUAAUUAACACGGAAUCACUUGAAAGGUGUCUGUUAUAUAAUCCUGCUGAGGAGCAAAUGCUUCAAGGUACACAUGGUGGGAAACAACGUUCAUUUUUCAUUCUUAGAUUAUAUUAACUGUGAAUGGAUCUCGAGGGAUUUAAAUCAUGUAGGAGCAGAAAAUUACCCUUUUUAGCAGCUUUGAGAAGUAAGGUCGCAGUCAGAAAUGUCAUCACUAGUUGACUUGAGCAGGAUGUUAUCACUAUCAGUAAAUGAAUAUUUUAUCACAUUAUAUCCUCUUAAUUAGGUUUCACUCUCUUUGGGCCAUCUUCCUUUUGAAGAACAUGAGAAAUCUGUAGUUUUCAUUGUAAGCUGCCUAACAGGAGAGUCUGGAGUUAGUGGCCCUCCAUCUCUUAACAUGGGCAAGGCCAAGUGGACUGCCAAAGUCACGAGGCUCGGGAUUUGCCUUUCCACCUUGGACAAGUCUCUCUACCUCUCUGAGCCUCAGCUUCCAUGUCUGUGAAAUGUGGAGAAUUUAUUUCUUUCAUAUUUAUUGAGCCCCACUGUAUACCAGACAGUCUGCUAAGCAUAAGAAAAGAAGAUGAAUGCAAUGAGAAGUUAUUUGUCCUUAAGGAAUGUGACUGAGACAGAAGGCAGCAUUAAGUAGAGGGUAUGGGGAGAAGAAUUGCAUCUCCUUAGUCCAUCAUUGAGGGUUGCUGUGAGGGGCUCAGGAGAAUGGGAAAGGACUCAAGUACUCAAAGCAUCAGCAAUGCACAGGCUUUUCACCCCAUCUUCUGAUGAAAUCCAUAAAAUAGCCAACAAUAUAAGAUAAUACCCUGUA
ensembl:lincRNA